rnacentral:rRNA from 1 species
CCUCACCCUCGUAAGACUACCCGCUGAACUUAAGCAUAUCAAUAAGCGGAGGAAAAGAAACCAACAGGGAUUGCCUCAGUAACGGCGAGUGAAGCGGCAAAAGCUCAAAUUUGAAAUCCCCCGGGAAUUGUAAUUUGAAGAGAUUUGGGUCCGGCCGGCGGGGGUUAAGUCCACUGGAAAGUGGCGCCACAGAGGGUGACAGCCCCGUGARCCCCUYYAAMGCCUYYAYCCCAGAUCUCCAAGAGUCGAGUUGUUUGGGAAUGCAGCUCUAAGUGGGUGGUAAAUUCCAUCUAAAGCUAAAUACCGGCGAGAGACCGAUAGCGAACAAGUACAGUGAUGGAAAGAUGAAAAGCACUUUGAAAAGAGAGUGAAAAAGUACGUGAAAUUGUUGAAAGGGAAGGGCUUGCAAGCAGACACUUAACUGGGCCAGCAUCGGGGCGGCGGGGAGCAAAACCRCCGGGGAAUGUACCUUUCGAGGAUUAUAACCCCGGCCCUUACUCCCAUACUGCCCCGAGGCCUGCAAUCUAAGGAUGCUGGCGUAAUGGUUGCAAGUCGCCCG